rnacentral:tRNA from 1 species
UCCCUGAUAGCUCAGUUGGUAAAGAGUCUGCCUCCAAUGCAGGAGAUCCUGAUUCGAUUCCUGGGUUGGGAA